rfam:Punica granatum cultivar Dabenzi scaffold140, whole genome shotgun sequence.
ACGGAUGUAGCCAAGUGGAUCAAGGUAGUGGAUUGUGAAUCCACCAUGCGCGGGUUCAAUUUCCGUCGUUCGUC